UGAAAAACUUCAGUAAUUAAUAUAGCAAUAGGGAAUGAAAUCUAUUCUAGUAACAGGUUCCAAUCGUGGCAUCGGAUUUGGACUCGUGAAAUACCUAACACUGCAGCCAAUUUCUCCACAGUUCUUGUUUGCAACAUGCCGACAUCCCACUAAAGCAGAGGCCCUUCAAGAGAUUGCAGAGAAACACAAAAACGUCCACAUAUUGCAGCUAGAUGUGACAGAUUUUGAAAGCUUUGGCAGUGUGGUCAAGAAUGUAGAAUCAAUUGUGCAAGAUGAAGGAUUAAAUUUACUCUUCAACAAUGCUGGUAUUUCUCCAAAAUUUACUAGGAUCAAUUUGGUGAAAGUUGAACAAAUGACCAGUGGCUUUAUGACCAAUGCUUUAGCUCCAUUAAUGUUAACAAAGGCUUUCCUUCCUCUUUUGAAAAAAGCUGCACAGAAUAAAUCAUCAGAGUCAUUUAGUGCAUCAAGAGCUGCUGUGAUCAACUUCAGUUCUAUUUUGGGUUCAAUAGCAGAAAACUCAAGUGGAGGUUUAUAUCCAUACCGAGCUAGCAAGGCAGCACUGAAUGCUAUCACACGUUCUAUGAGUGUUGAUCUCAAGUCUGAUGGAAUUAUAGUAACCAGCAUGCAUCCAGGAUGGGUGAAAACAGAAAUGGGUGGACGAAAUGCAACAAUGACUGUGGAAGAAAGUGUUAGCAACAUCAUCAGAACAGUUCUGUCUCUCAGUGAAAAGCACAGUGGAAAGUUUAUUCAAUAUGAUGGAAAGGAGGUACCUUGGUAAAUGACUACUUAUACUGCAGUAUGAAAUAUAAAUCAUGGCUGAGCAUCAAAGUACAACCAUACAGACUUUCUUGUCACCUUAUGUAAGACAUUUACUGGUAGAAAUUGGGGAUAAAAUCCAGAAUAAUUCAGAAACAAAUAUGCCCAACUUGUAUGUUACUUCAAAUAAUACAUUUAACUGGAAAGAAAUAAAUAUUUUACUUGGAAAUUUGUCAGAUUGCUUUAAUAUUCACAAUCAGCCAGGAGAUUGGUUUAACACAGUAGUUCACAAUCUCUGGCCUGUGUUUAUUGAAGCUCACAAAAGCAUUAGAAAUUGUACCCAUCAACAACUUGAACAAGUGUGGAAACUGUCACAAUGGACCAGGAAGGAAAAUGAAAUCCAAGAGUGUUACAAACAUUUUAGUAAUUAUUCUCCAACUGGAACUGUUGAAGUAAUUUUGCUUCUUACUUCAAUACUGGAGCGCUCCUUAGGAAAUGUUUUUCUGUUAAAAGGUCAUAAUGUUCCAUUCCUUUUCAAAGAUCUCUUGUCAACUAAGGAGUUGGCUUCUAUCCUGGGGACUUUUCCUACUGUGUUUAUACAAGUGUUGCUAGGAACACCAGUAGCACUGAAUCUUCGUAAUAUAACAUGGCAUGGAUUUCCAUGUCCUCAUGAAAUUAAGCCUGAACUUGGUGCUGUAUUUUUCUUGGUCAUUGCUUCAAUUGGAGAGAUACUAGCAACUAAACACUUCACUGUCAAUUCCUUGCCAUGUCG